AUGUAGAACAAUCUGUCUUUAAGUAGUGGCAAAUUACUCUUGACCAAAAUGAUUCUAAAUAGUUUUCCCUUCAGUUAAACUUAUUUAA
rnacentral:pre_miRNA from 1 species